GAGUUUGAUUCUGGCUCAGGACGAACGCUGGCGGCGUGCUUAACACAUGCAAGUCGAACGGAAAGGCCCUGCUUUUGUGGGGUGCUCGAGUGGCGAACGGGUGAGUAACACGUGAGUAACCUGCCCUUGACUUUGGGAUAACUUCAGGAAACUGGGGCUAAUACCGGAUAGGAGCUCCUGCUGCAUGGUGGGGGUUGGAAAGUUUCGGCGGUUGGGGAUGGACUCGCGGCUUAUCAGCUUGUUGGUGGGGUAGUGGCUUACCAAGGCUUUGACGGGUAGCCGGCCUGAGAGGGUGACCGGCCACAUUGGGACUGAGAUACGGCCCAGACUCCUACGGGAGGCAGCAGUGGGGAAUAUUGCACAAUGGGCGGAAGCCUGAUGCAGCAACGCCGCGUGCGGGAUGACGGCCUUCGGGUUGUAAACCGCUUUCGCCUGUGACGAAGCGUGAGUGACGGUAAUGGGUAAAGAAGCACCGGCUAACUACGUGCCAGCAGCCGCGGUGAUACGUAGGGUGCGAGCGUUGUCCGGAUUUAUUGGGCGUAAAGGGCUCGUAGGUGGUUGAUCGCGUCGGAAGUGUAAUCUUGGG
rnacentral:rRNA from 1 species